UUAAAUCCCUUAGUUGUAUUUUACUUAGCAAAUAUCUACUUGAACACAUUAGACGUUGUUGGACUUAAGUUACAGAAAAAUUAUAACUCAUAUUUAGCAUCGUUUCCUGUAUAUGAUAAUUAUUUUUAUUUAGUUCUAGACACACAUGAUUAUUUAAAUUGUUUUAUUUAUGAUUAAAACCCGCUGCUAUAAUAAAUCGCUCGGAUGAUGUUUUUAAUUUUCAGGUUAAUUUAGCCGGAAGUGCGAUGUAAAAUGGCGACCCAUGGCUGCUGACGCUGGUCUCCUUGCCUUCAGCGGCUCCGCCUGGCCGGGCCCCGAGGGAUUUAUUCGCCAUGGGAUUUGGUAGACAAGACGCCGUUUCACCCUCCAAAAAAAUGUCUUAAAAUGACUGCUGAAGAAAGACCAGUGUGAAGAGAAGAAGCAGCAGUUCUGUGAAGGGGACAUCAGGUAGCAUGCUGUAAUUCAGCAUUGAAGACACGAGCCUGCUGGUGUUCAAAAGCAAUUUAUCCUGGUGUGAUCCCUCGGAGGUUCCUGUGGCAGACGUGACAUAUCGAGGUUGGCAGGCUGUGUACUGCAAAAAGCCUUCUUAGAAAAGCUGUGGCUGACCUUCAGUGCAGAACAACAUCCUGCAGGAGGCCACUGAGCCAGUAGGUCCAGGUCAAGCAUGGUGCUAUCUGCAGUUACGACACUACAAUGCCUAUCUGGGAAAAGUUACUUCCCCAUUACGUGCCUGGCAGGUGUCUUCAAAGGAUGGAGACCGAAAGCCCUCUUGCAGCCUUCUCAUUGGCCUUCCACUACCUGAAGCACCUCCCCCUAUUGGUCCACUUCAAGGGUCUUUAUUAAAGCAGAGAAAAGAGAUGGAUCUGAGGUCAAAGCGGGCAGAGUUCCGUGGACGGAGUCGAACGAGUCGGUGGGGCUCACCUGGACCCCCGUCGUGUCCUGCAGCGUGUGCUCGCUGGUUUCCAUCUCGAAGGCCGCGCCCGCGCGCAUCAACCCCGCUUUGACCCCACAGGCCGAGCCGGUGGCCGGGGGUCGCCUCCUGCUGGCCGCGCAGCACGCCGCGAAGAAAGCGGCGGCCGUCAACAAGAGGAGCGGCCCUAUCACGAUGGGGGGGUUGGCGGCCGGGGCGUAGGUGGCGAAGGCGACGGCGCCCACCAGGGUGACGUUGACCCCGGCCAGCAGGACGCACAGGCCGCACGCGCAGCACAGAGGCGGCGAAGGCAGGCUGCGGGCUCGCUGCUUGUGGCGUUUGUGGGCUGCAGGACGUCUGCUGCUGUUUUCUGGAAGCACCAUGGAGGAGGAGGAGGACGGAUGCACUCGUCAGCUCAGAAGGUAGGAAACAUGACUCUACAGCACCCAAACUAGUAAAAAAGGAAAACAAAACCACUAAUUUCAUAAUGAUGUAGAUAAAUAGAAAGUUAGCUGUACUUACCUUACUUGGUCUUCAUGUUAGUGUGUAAUCAGGACAGCUGCUGGCUCCUCUCAGCAGGUCAGCAACUCACUGAGCAGCUCUUGCCUCCAAACCACUGCUGUUACACUGCACUGCCGCUAGGGGCACCAGAGCGCUUUUUUAGGUGAGCGACACGCCCACUUUUAACACUGGCAUAAUUUAAAGAUGAACAUGAAAUACUCUAAAAUAAUGAAAUAUCCAUCACUCAUAAAGAGAACUCUUAAACAGCAUCCUAACAGCUUUGCUAGUUAGGAUCAUCCCAAACAUUGACCUGAACACCAAAUAUUAAGCAACAGUCAGAAAAUAAAUAGAGAAAGUAAUAAAGGAUAUUGUUUAUUGACCAGUAAAAAUAUGCUCCAAAGAGCUUACUUUAUGCAUGAUGACAAUUUGUAAAAUAUAAAUGGAAGACGUCCUCCCUCCGUUUUACAGCAUACUGAUCUCACUUUACUUAAUGGUGAUUAAACAUGUUUGAUAAAAGGCUAUUCGUCUAACAAAUAAUUGCUAUUGCACUUUUAGGCAGCGAGUUGUUGCUAUAGAGAUGUUGUGUCCAUGGCAACCAGGUGGAAACACGAACAUGGGCUCAUGACAAAGGAAAGUGAUACAAUAUAAUACUCUCAUUCUUGGUACACUCGCAACAAACAGACUGAACAAGACACCAAUAAAAAGCAUAUAAAAAUAAAAACCAGUAACCCUUUUUCAUCAUUCUAUAUAAAGUAAUUAUUUAAAUGACCUGUGGACAUAUUUAAAGUUGGAAGACAGAAAAGGUCGUCUCACUGACUUUGAGGUUCCUCUGGUCUCUUCAAGAGGUAAAUAAAGAGCGCACACAAAGCAGGUGAAGUGUAAACGCCUUCUAGAGUCAAGCAGGUUUAAAGUACAUCAGUGCUCCAGGUAGUUUGUGUCAGCUUUCAGCUUUUCUGAAAAUAGCUUGAGAAAAGUUAAUGAUUGGAAACACUUCACAUGCUGGGAUAGGCUUCAUAAAAGAACAAAUAAAAAAGGUAAGAAAAUUAAAACUGUGGUAAGAUCAAAUGUAACUUUAAGUCUCUGGUGUGGGGGGAAGGGUUUCGUGCAUCCUGGAUACAAGUCCGGACUCUAGCCAAGAGGAAGAACUGCCAAGUGAUAAGAGGCUGCUAAAAACACAGAGGAUCCAAAAGGUCUAAAAGCAGGAUGAGCAGGAGGCUUUCAGGCCGUGAGUUGAGAAGUGUGGUCUGUGGUGCGCAGGGCGAUGGACUGUGCCCUCCUGCGAGCCAGUCUGGAGUUGGACGGAGGAGAAAGCCUCAUGGAACAAACCACUGCCACGGCCGAGUCCUCCUGCUGCUGCUCGUGCUGAGAGAGCUGCCUGUGGAAGGCGAUGGCUUCUGCUGCAAACAGGCUCAGGUCUUUGGUGCUGCUGUUCCUAUCGGGUCAACACUCGCAUUAUUACAUUAUAGUACCGCUUAUUACAACCCUAACCCCAACGCAUAGGACCUUACCAAACCUUUAGCCCAGAAAUUCUCAAUCAAUUAUUAUUAAGUAUUAAUUAUCUUUAAACACAGUGUAACUGUUCAAACUGUGUUAAGUUAAAGUUAAGUUUUGAGACAUCUACAACUACAGCACCAGAAUUGUGCUGCUGAAGCAAGUCCGUUUUUUUGAGUUUUUUGUAAGGGUCCCCCCUUACGACAUUUUAGCAAAAAAAUUAUUUCGUAAAAUAUGCAUUUUCUUCCAUUUUCUUACAUUUACGGUAUGUGUCGGGACUCCUGAUGACGUUUUGAGACAUCUCCUACAACUACAGCACCAGAAUUGUGCUGCUAAAGCAAGUCUCUUUUUUGAAAAAAUUUUUGUGAAAAAAAGUUUUCCCAAAAAAUGCAUUUUCUGCCAUUUUUAGGUUUUGUCGGGACUCCUGAUGACGUUUUAAG